rnacentral:rRNA from 1 species
GACGAACGCUGGCGGCGUGCUUAACACAUGCAAGUCGAACGAUGAAGAAGAGAAACGCGAACUUCGGUUCAAAUUUCACUUCGGAUUAGUGGCAGACGGGUGAGUAACGCGUGAGCAACCUACCUCUUACAAAGGGAUAGCCUCGGGAAACCGUGAUUAAUACCAUAUGACACAUUCAUAAGGCAUCUUAAGAAUGUUAAAGCUACGGCGGUAAGAGAUGGGCUCGCGUCCCAUUAGCUAGUUGGUGAGGUGACGGCCCACCAAGGCGACGAUGGGUAACCGGACUGAGAGGGUGAACGGUCACAUUGGAACUGAGACACGGUCCAAACUCCUACGGGAGGCAGCAGUGGGGAAUAGUGCACAAUGGAGGGAACGCUGAUGCAGCGACGCCGCGUGAGCGAUGAAGGAAUUCGUGUCGUAAAGCUCUGUUCUAUGAGAAGAAAAGGACUGUACCAUAGGAGAAAGCCCCGGCUAAAUACGUG